CCUGGGGCUAUGAGAAUGGCGGUGGUUGUGAAAGGUUUUGUGUAGACGGCGUCGAUCUCCACGACGGUCAGGGAGUGGCCGGCGAUGGCGAAGAAGAGCUCGUCAUUGAGCGCAGCAUUGAUGAUCCUUAACAGAUGUGAAAUCUGCCUAUCUCAUAUUCAUAAUGAAAGAGAGAAGAAUCCCUACAUCAAAUUGGUAUUCCUUAACUGCUGAUUCAACCAGAAAAGGGAGAGGUCCAACAAAGAAUGUGAGGAGAAACAGCAAUCCCAGGUGAGAACCAUGUAGUAGAAUUGCCAUUUCUUUUUCCUAUUUGUCUUCAACUUCAGAUAUUCUGUUUAAAAAUGGUUGCUACUUAUAAUAGCAAAAACAGGAAGAAAAAAAAGAAAAAGAAAAGAAAAGAAAUGUUAGGUCUUCGGAAGUUGUUAAGAGCCAAAGCUGGCUAUGAAAUGAAGCUUUCACUUAGCGAUGGGUGAAAGCAAAACAACUGGGGGAUUUGAACAAGGCUUCAAAGCAACACUGUAGUAAGAAGUUGAAACAUCACUAUUACAUUUGUUAUAUAUUAAUUUUGAUUUAGAACAUUAUAGUUUUAUUUUCUGAACAAUAUGAAAACCAUUGUGAAAUACUACCCCAUGUUUUAAAACUUUUUUUCUUCUCUGGAGUAGUGUUUAAGUUAAUGUUGAAUUGACUUCAUUGCUGUAUAGUAUUCAUAUAAAACAUCUUCCUUCCUGUAAUUUGUGACUAUAUGCAAAUUGCUUUGGAGUAAGAUGUUGGAUUUGUGGAGCUGGA